rfam:Ixodes scapularis strain Wikel colony gcontig_1108379312564, whole genome shotgun sequence.
GGUGGAGUGGUGUAGAGGUUAGCACACCCGACCGGACACUGGGAGGCCCAGGGUUCAAAUCCUGGCUCCGCCG